rnacentral:rRNA from 1 species
UACAGAGGUCUCAAGCGUUGUUCGGAUUCAUUGGGCGUAAAGGGUGCGUAGGCGGCGCGGUAAGUCAGGUGUGAAAUUUCGGAGCUUAACUCCGAAACUGCAUUUGAUACUGGUGUGCUUGAGGACUGGAGAGGAGACUGGAAUUCAUGGUGUAGCAGUGAAAUGCGUAGAGAUCAUGAGGAAGACCAGUGGCGAAGGCGGGUCUCUGGACAGUUCCUGACACUGAGGCACGAAGGCCAGGGGAGCAAACGGG